GAAAGACUAAGCAGUUGUCGCAUGGUA
rnacentral:sRNA from 1 species